rnacentral:rRNA from 1 species
GAUGAACGCUAGCGGCAGGCCUAAUACAUGCAAGUCGAACGGUGUAGCAAUACACAGUGGCGCACGGGUGCGUAACACGUAUGCAACCUACCUAUCAUUGGGGGAUAGCCUUUGGAAACGGAGAUUAAUACCGCAUAAGACAGUAACAUGGCAUCAUGUAGCUGUUAAAGCUUCGGCGAUGAUAGAUGGGCAUGCGUCCAAUUAGUUAGUUGGUGAGGUAAUGGCUCACCAAGACGAUGAUUGGUAGGGGAUCUGAGAGGAUAAUCCCCCACACUGGCACUGAGAUACGGGCCAGACUCCGACGGGAGGCAGCAGUAGGGAAUAUUGGGCAAUGGGCGGAAGCCUGACCCAGCCAUGCCGCGUGCAGGAUGAAGGCGUUAUGCGUUGUAAACUGCUUUUUUAUAGGAAGAAGGAGACCUUGCGAGGUUUGGUGACGGUACUAUAAGAAUAAGCACCGGCUAACUCCGUGCCAGCAGCCGCCGUAAAAC